GAUCGAUCUUGCUAUGGAAAUGUAGGAGUAUGAAGCAACAGGAGCACCUGCAUUGUUGUUCCGUCGAGUGGAAGUAAGAUAGAAGUGCGGAAUUGAUGCCAAAUCAGAGACAAGUGUCACUGCUCCUUGAAUGUUCUAAGAUUGCUAGCCUGUGAUGACUCUGAAGUGAAGAAUACCCUCAGCAGUAGGGUGUGUUUGCAUCAUAUUAAGAGGCAAUGGUCAUGUAUAUUUCAGUAAAGCUAUCAAGGAGGCAAGGAGGCUAGUGCGUGCACUAGAAGAUGCUCAUCACGUGUGAACUGCUGAGGCUUAAGUAGAAACACAUUACGCUGUGAAUUAGCGAGGCUUAAGAAUAAACACUAUGUAUUCUAAUUAAGAGAUCUCAUUCUUGUAAAUUACCGUUUUGGUUGGAUUGCAUAUCCUCAAUGUAUUGUUCAAAUAAAAAAUAGAUUUUAUUGUUGGUUUU